rnacentral:rRNA from 1 species
UACGUAGGUGGCAAGCGUUGUCCGGAUUUACUGGGCGUAAAGAGCGCGCAGGCGGUCGUUUAAGUCGAAUGUGAAAGCCCCCGGCUCAACUGGGGAGGGUCAUUCGAUACUGAUCGACUCGAAGGCAGGAGAGAGAAGUGGAAUUCCCGGUGUAGUGGUGAAAUUCGUAGAUAUUCGGAAGAACACCAGUGGCGAAGGCGGCUCACUGGUCCGGUACUGACGCUGAGGUGCGAAAGCGUGGGGAGCAAACAGG